rnacentral:lncRNA from 1 species
GUUUUUAAAAGCCCCAACAGGCCAGUUUCCAUGAGAUGGUCGGGGAAGGCCCUCUGAGGAGCCUGGAUGGGGGAGGGGGCAGGGGCAGAGCCAGUCGAGGACAGAGAGUUCCCAGGACAGGGAACAGAAAUGCCGAAGUCCAGAGGGGAGGACGAGGCAGGAAAAAACCAGGCAGUUCCAGCCCGUGUGACAAACAUCCCUUCUCCAGCUCCACUAGGUGAGCUCUCACCUACUCACCGGAGGACUCGAGGAUGCACUGUCUCACUGAGUUGCAGCUGGGAAAGUGGGAGGAGGCCCUGGGGCCAGCCAGCGAGGAGUAAGCAGGAGAAAACCUCUGUCUGGUUCUGGAUCAGCACAGGGAUGCCAGCCCCAGCACAGGACUCAGCAUAGAAGAUGCUCGAUCAAAGAAAUGGAAGCCCAGAGAGGUCCAUCAAUUGCCCAAGGUCACACAGCCAAUGAAGAGCAGAGCCCAGGUUCGAACCUGGGUCUGUGAGCCCCAAAGCCUUUGCUUGGGACCUUAACCCCCACCACCUCCCCUUAAAGCGAUGCUGCUGGCCUCCUGCUUCCCAAAUCUCCUUAAGUCCCCACCGUUCAAGGUCACACAGCAAGCUCCUGGCAGAGCCUCUUAAAAAGUGUUUCCAUUUAGUGUUUGCAUUGAUUAUUUCCUUUUUGCUUUAUAGGAAUUUUCCCCCUUUUAUUUGCAAAGAAAAGCCAAUGUAAAUGUUCUCCCCACACA